rnacentral:rRNA from 1 species
CCUACGGGAGGCAGCAGUGGGGAAUAUUGGGCCAUGGGCGCAAGCCUGACCCAGCAACGCCGCGUGAAGGCAGAAGGCUUUCGGGUUGUACACUUCUUUUCUCAGGGACGAAGAAAGUGACGGUACCUGAGGAAUAAGCCACGGCUAACUCCGUGCCAGCAGCCGCGGUAAUACGUAGGGUGCAAGCGUUAUCCGGAUUUAUUGGGUGUAAAGGGCGUGUAGGCGGGGGCGCAAGUCAGAUGUGAAAACUCAGGGCUGAAACCUGAGCCUGGAUGUGAAACUGUGUUUCUUGAGUGCUGGAGAGGCAAUCGGAAUUCCGGGUGUAGCGGUGAAAUGCGUAGAUAUACGGAGGAACACCAGUGGCGAAGGCGGAUUGCUGGACAGUAACUGACGCUGAGGCGCGAAAGCGUGGGGAGCAAACAGGAUUAGAUACCCGUGUAGUC